CUCUAUAAUCCCUUAUCUAGCCUCAACCUCCACCCUCUAUAAUCCCUUAUCUAGCCUCAAUCUCUAUUGAUUAUUUUUUUGGCGAUUUUUCGUAUCUCUUGUGGCCAUCUUCAUCGUCUUCUUCACACAAACGGACACAAGUUUUGUAAAUAUCCUCCCAAAUUUUUUUCUUUCAACGGCAUUUCGUUUUGCAUCUUUUGCUGAAAAAUUGGUGUGUUUUCUUUCUCUCAAUCUUUAACCUCUUGAUGAGAAUACGAUGCCACCACGAUGCUUAUAGUUUCUGGAAUAAAGAACUAUGGAUUUGAAAAGCAAAAAUUGUCUAUUAUUUUAUAUUCGGAUAGAAUUUUUUGUUGUGAAUUCACAAUUCUUUUUUUUUUUUUGUUCUAUCCCCCUUUUGGAAGUCAUUAUGUGAAUAUUAUUAAGGUGAAUCGGUGAAUAAUGCACUUCAUAUGUUCGAUAAAAUGUCUCAAAGAAAUCACUAAAUAAUUUAAUAUAUUUUCAUCCAAAAUAUUAUGUUUUUAUUCUCUUUCAAAUAUGUGCACUAUUUGGAUAUCUCAAUCAACGAUUAUAUCCUCAAUAUUUCUCUCAAUACUUAAUUGUAAAUUUUCUAUUCUAUGAGGGUUCUUUAUGAUAGGUUGUGUUCCUUAUGUGAGAAAUACAUGGUUUUAUAUGCGUUUGUAGUAGAUGGAUUUUGCAGAACUGAAAACACUAUUGAAGAUCUUGAACUAAUAAAGGGCGCGUGUGGUAGAGAAACACUUCAAAUGAGUGUUCGAUUGAGGACUUUGAUGUUAUUUUGGUGGUUGUUUAUUGCAUUGUUGCCGGGGCUCGCAGAGAUUCUAAGAGAGAAGGAUAGCUUAAGAUCGAGCCAGGCUUGCGACAUUAUUUCCGCUCGAAUUUAUAAACAAGCUGAGCAGAGCCUGUAUGGAUAACAUAUUCGAGUCGAGCUCGAACACCAUAUACGCAAGCUCACUCGGCUCGUGUAACAGCUCUACCCACUUAUAAAAAGUUAAUGAUUCAAAAUAAAAUAUAAUUUUUUAUAUUAUCAAUAUAAUUUUUUGUACCUAACAUAAAAAAAAAGGCAUUCAUCCAAAAAUGUAAAAUGAACAAACCAUGAUGCAAAUAUGUUUGAAUUUGUUAUAUGUUUUCUUUUUCUUUUUA